GGAAUCCUAGCUGGUUUCUUUUCUUCCUCUUAUAGGCGUUGGCAUCUGAAGUGAUAAAUGACUUAGCUACAUAUAAGCUCAACAUAGUAAUACCAAAGACACUCACUGAUAUCCAUAUGUAUGUUUUCUGGGAACACAGCUUCCCCACACCAAGAUAAGACCUAUUCCAAAAUUCUGUCAGUCCUGCGUAAUAAGCAAGGGAAAGUUGGAGAAUUCUGCCCUAACUCUACCCUUGGCUCUGGUCAUAGAUAAUGAAAUACAGAAAUUUGGAGACGUUUUUAUCUGUAAAAAUCCUGUAAAUGGAGCUAAAUACAAACCAAGCCUGUGCUCUUUGUGCUAAGGGAAUGCAGGCUCCUAUAAAGUAUGUGUCUCUUAAGCUGUGCUCGUUAUAGCUCAGCCCACUGUCAUUGGCAUACCCUUUUUUUACGCUUACUCGAUAUUGACCACUAUAAUCAUAGUACUAUUUUAGAAAUGUGAGUUAGCAGAGAAAUAUUAUAAAAGGAGAAUUUCCAAGUUGAGCAUGGAAAUGAGAUUUGAAUCAUUGGGAAGAAGGGAGAAGAAGGGAAUUUAACAAAGGAUCAGAAGUGAGUCGUCAGAUUAUUCCAUAUUUGAGAGUUGAUAGUGACAUCAUAACAAUGGCCAAUACUGAAAGCCAGGACCUGGAUAGACCAGGUGGCUGUCCGGGAGAAAGUAAUGGCUUUGAGGAACAGGUUAUGAGUGAAAAGAACUGAUUGGGAAAAUCAAGUUAGGACCCAGAAUCUACACUAUUAUUAGGUAGAAUCUAAAACCAAGGCAGGGAGUUUCUCUUGUGGCUCAGCGGUAAGAAACCCAGCUAGUAUCCAUGAGGACGCGGGUUUAAUACCUGGCCUCACUCAGUGGGUUACAGAUUCAAUGUUGCCGUGAGCUGUGAGGUAUGUCUCAGAUUUGGCUCCGGGUCCUGCAUUGUUGUGGCUGUGGCAUAGGCCUGAACCUACAGCUCUGAUUCAAACCCUACCUUGGGAACUUCCAUAUGCCAUGGGUGUAGGCCCUAAAAAAAAAAAAUCCAGGCAGGCAGAUUUCCCUCACAGAGAGGUAAGACUGAGUAGAAACAAGAGCAGAGAUAGAAAAAAGAGAUGAGACAAAGAGGGGAGCUAGGGUUUUAAAUCUAUGACCAGGAGAAUGAAUGGCAUAGUUGAUGGACCUUGGAGAGCCAGAGAUGGAAACUUGAUAGAAUGGGAGAGGAUUACAUUAGGGUCUAGUCAUCCCCAGUUUGAGAUGAAGCUGAAAUAUCAGGUGGAAUCUGUGUGGAGGUAGAGAUACAAAUGAAUACAUCACCCCCAUUUUGAAGACCCCCAGUAAACCAUACUCAGGACUCACUGCACUGGAAAUUGUUCCCACAGUACAGUUCAAUUAAAAUGGGAAAUUAAUCAAAAGACAUCUCCUGUCACAACAAGUCUUGUCCUCAGGGUUUCCAGUGGGGAAGAAGCUGCUAACUGGAGGGCCUUCUGAGGAAUUUUUCUUAGACUGAGUGUAGAUUUUUCGUUUGCUUUCCUCUGGGUCAGAACAUAAAUUCUGCUCCUCUCACAAAUCUCUCUGUAUUCAGUUAUAUUUUACCCAACCUUAGAGUAUGGUUUUGUUCCUAUUUUCUUUCUAAACAGAGCAAACUCUUCACUGUCUGUGGUGACAGAGAGAGAGAAAAUGGUACAGAGGCGGGAACAUUUUAGACAACUCUAGGGAUAAUUUCUGUUUAACUUGACAUAGCACUUUGUUUUAGCUAAUAAACUUUAAAAUUAUCAUUAUGCUUAUUAGUAUUAAAAUUGGUUCACAUUCUCAGAACACACACCAUUGACUGGCUAGUAAAAGUGAGAUGAGAAAGGAGUGUCCACCAUUCCAGCAUCUAUGAAAACCUGAGUGACACCUAACAGCUGAGUGUGGUAGAAAAACCUUACGUGAGUCUGAACUACAGCAGUGAAUAAUUAUUAUUGCAAUAUUCAUUAACUGCUUUCUAAGUUUUGGAUACUCUGACACAUGGCUGUAUAGUCUGAAUAAAUGUGAUUGUUUUUUCUUUUGUAGAGCCACGCCUGUGGCAUAUGGAAGUUCCCAGGCUAGGUGUCAAUUCAGAGCUGCAUCUGCCGGCCUACACCACAGCCGCAGCAGUGUGGGAUUGAGUCGUGUCUGUGACCUACACCACAGCAACACCAGAUCCUUAACUCACUGAGUGAGGCCAGGGAUUGAACCCACAUCCUCAUGGAUACUAGUCGGGUUCUCAACAUGCUGAGCCACCACAGGAACUCCCCAAAUGUGAAAUUUUUAAUGACCAAGAUAACUGACAGUUCAAAAACUUGAUAAGGUGAUUUUGUUUCUAGUUAACUAUUUCUUUUAAAUAAAGAAUGUAGUUAUUUCUUUUAAAUAAAGAAUGGUUGUUAUGUGGCCAUUUAGAAGAGCCAAGUUCUUUGCCAUAAGUUUCACCAAUUGGUGGCCCACAUUUUAAAGACUUGCUAUAUAUGGUGUAUUAGAAAUGUCCUGAUGUGGAAAGUUUUAAUCAAUCAAAUCAGGCUUGAUUUAGUGGGAUUUUGUGGACAAAUCUUUGUCCUCAGCUGUAUAAUAAUUACAAGCUGUUUUACCAGUGGAUAAGGAAAGGAUUACUCUCCUCUUUGAAAAUGGUAACUUUAUAAUUACAUGUAUUUACUUGCCUUAUCAGAAUAGAGUUUACCAGCUGAGACACAGGAUUAUUUUUAUUUAAAAGACUCCUGGCUAAAUUGAACAAGCACACAUUUGAGGAGAGUUUAGCUUUUGUAGACAAUUGUUCCUGGCAUGAAUAAAGAAUAAAUAAUCUGAAAUGGAUUUUGUUUUUUCCUUCCUUUCUGAAAUGUAUAUAUACUUGGCACAAAAGUUACCUAGAUGGUUAAUUCAGCCCAACCCAUGAUACUAUUUAGAAAUGUACAGAUAUUUAUCAACAACUUGGUGUAUUCAGUGUGCCAACGUGCUUUAGCCAAAGCUUUGGAUUUCAUGUGGGAAGUUUAAUGGUUGUGAAUCAGAAUCUGCCAAAACUUUAAGACAACUUUUCUGUUUAGAAUUCACUUUUCCUUCUUGCUGGCCCACUAAAAUCUGCAACUCACUUCUGUGUCAUAUAUGCCUGAAGAGGACUAUGCUUUUCUCUCAAGUGUUUGUUACAAUUCCAAAUUAAGUUCAUAAGGAAAUAAUAAUAAAUCUAGAUAAUCUGGAUUCCAUUUCUCUUAGCCAGAUCUUCUUGAAUUGAUUUUUCCACCCAAUAUCAAAAUUUUGUUUCAGCUACAUAAACAUUUUGCUUCUCUUUAGCCAGAUGUCUUUAUAAACAAGAGUUCCUUCCUUAUCCUUCCCAAUCUCUCUAAUGUUCCCUAAACUCUUUCUAAAAUUGUUGAGAACAUAAACAUCUCUGAGUCAGAAACUUUGUCUUCUGUUUUUUUUAAUUUCCUAAUAAGGCACCAGCACCACUUCUUCGUGAACACUUCCUCAUCCUUGCUUCCUAAAAUACUAACAGAUUGGAGCCAGAGAAAGGCAAAUCAAGUGUCCUUCUUACCAUGAACACAGGGAAAUUGCUGUAUGAUGCUUGGUCUGCUUAUUGAGGAAAGAAACCCCAAGCAUUCAGGCAUUAAGGGACAGCCACAGAGCUUUCAGCUGUAUCCGUCCACUUGGCAGCCAUCCAUUCUGCAAGUCUUCAAUCAUGCUAGGGUGUGAGGCCCAGAGACAGAGCCUUGAUUAUUCCUUUGACUCGCAUCAAAAAGAACCUUGGCAGGUUGACUGUGGCUGACUAGCCUGGAAAAGUUCUCAUUCAGAAUAUUUGAGCCCUAGGCUUGCUGCUCCUACUCUUGAGUCCACAGGGACUAAAGGAUGGCAGGUUCCUGGAUGGAGUGAGCGCAGAUGCCCAGUGGGGCCGGUGGCUGGCUCUGUGUCUGAUGACUCCCCUGACCUCUGUGCCUCUGUAUAUUUCCCGACCAUUCUCCGUACCAAGUUUUUAUCUUCUUUCCCUUCCUGAGUCCCUGCUCCCUUGCAAGUUGAGAGGGACCUGGCCCCCACAUAUACCCCAGCCUGUCCAAGCACAUCUUCCCCUCUCUCCACCCUUCAGUUCUGAUGUUACUGUCAUUGGGAGUGUGGCUCCUGGAGCAGGGCUCUGAUGUUCUCUGUAAGGGCAUGUCCAUUUUCCUCUCUCAUCUUCACUUGUCUUCUGUUCCCACUCUCAUGGUGCCCAUUUUCUGCACACCCGGCUCCUCAUCUCACUUUCUGCCUCACCAUUGUCCACUCCCCUGUCUUCACCUCCUCUCCUACACUGUCCCACAUGGGUGCUUCUUUACUGGGACUGAUUCCAAUUCACACUGGCAUCUAUUGCCUCACCUCCUUUUAGUCACUAGCAUCUUCUCCCUAGUGUUUAAUUCAUCAUCUCCAGGUUAAACCAGAUGAGACAUUGGAGACAAUCCUGUUCUGUCAUCAAGGCUUAAACCCUCUCAUUGUCUCAAUCGAUAAACAUUUCUGAAUGCUGAAGCUUCACCACACUUAAACAUCAGACCAAGUCUCACAGGACCUCCCAAAAGUAUUAGGCUAGCUAAAGCUUUUAUACCUAGUAUUUAAGUUUCCAGGCAAGGAAUCUACUAUAUUUGGCAAUUUGUGUUCUCAUUUUACCCCUAGAUAGUUCAUGUGACUAACUGAAAUUUUUAUGUGGGACAUCUGCUGCCUUGCACAAGAAAAAGACUAAUGCACCUUAAAUAAAGUAGUCACUGUACUUGCAGGACUAGGACUCCUUUAAGAAGGUGGUCUCUGUAUUAUGCACUGUUCUGUUUUGUUCUUAUUGAUGCAAUGACUUGAGACUCUCCAACACCUUAAUAAAAAAGUUUAGUGUAAGGUGUUAAUAGAAUUGCACCUACUCUGACUUUCUCCCUUUGUUCUUCCUUGGCCCCUCCACCCUCUCAGCCUCUCACUAAAGCCGGACUGCUUCCUCUGUGUUCCCUGGACGUCCAGACCCCACAGGCUGCCAAUCUUUUAAGCGUAGGCAAUAACCAUCACUACUGUUUCUACAGUCCAUCCAAUGAGGCCAUGCCAUUGGGGUCUUUGAGGGGACCCAGCAGAUGCUUUCCCAUCUGGGUUCUGAUCCUGAUAAAAAAUAAGAAAAAAAGUCUAAGGAAACCAAAAUAUUACCAUUACUGAUUGAGAAGUUGAAGGAGGCACCUCAUUGUGUACCAUCAAUGAGCUUUCUUACUCUGAACCCCAGAAUUAGACAGCUCUUCACAUCCAGUCAUGGGCACUGCUGAACUUGGGCAGGCCUCCCAUCGCCCUGUGCAGAAACCCUGAGGGAUAGGGGUGACCUGAGAUUACUGUGAGCAGCAGAUCAAGGGAAGCGCCAAGGAAGGGGCUGGACUACACAGCCAGAUAAGCCUCUCCACUGCCACUGGGGAGCCAGCGAUAGUCAAAGAAGAGACAAGGAAUGUUAUGCCAAUUACUGCCUCUCUGCAUGGAAGGAAAGGCCCCUCUCAAGUACAUCAGAGAUCUUUAGUCUGCCUUAGGAGUGAGCUGCCUGCUGGUCAGGUGCCUGCCCCAGCCUAGGCAGUGGACAUCUCUUCCAAAACAGGAGUCUGCAGUUGUUCUCCUGAGCAGAAGCUGGGGGUGGGGCUCUUCAGUAAGGAGCAUGGCAGGUCUGAGGACUGCUUAUGACCUCACAGUACCACCAUCUUUUCCCUGAGUGUUUUCUGAGUGACCAGUCAGAUAAUUUCCUCAUGCCUCUGUUUCCUUAUGGAACACUUGAAAAUCAUACUUGAUCAGCCAUCAAGGUGAGGGAAGAAACACACUUCUAUCAAGGAAAAGAUUCAGGCAGAUUCUGUCUGUGCUAUUGUACAGACAACAGUUGUGUCCUUUAAGAAGCCCCUCCCAGAGAGCACCACCUUGAGGCUGUUUGGGAGCUGAAAGACUGAUUUCCUCAUGGAAUGUUUUAGAACCCGGAUGACAGAUAGCUGUCAUCUCAUGCCACUUAUUAUAUUGGCAGUGGCUGCCUUCAGUGCUGUGCCAAGAAAAAUUCUGAGACUGUAUCCAGCUAGUGGAAAAUAAUUCUGUGAUUAUUAUUGCCCACCACAGAUGUGGGUAAAGAGACUGAGGGCCCUUAAGCCUAGUUUUGACUAUUGUUGGUCCACAGCACAGGUGGAAUUUUCUUCCCUAGACAUACAGCCAUCCCUGGCAUCAGAAGUAGGAAAUGGGGACUUCAAGCUGGAGAAGCACCAAGUGAGACUGGCUUCUUGUCCUCUGCAGCCACAGGGCCAAAACCUUGAUUGUAUAGCACACAGGUCUGCAGACUUUUUCUAUAAAUGGCCAGAUUCUAGUCCUUGUGAGCCAUGUAUUCCCUGUUGUGAUAACUCAGCUCUGCCAUCAUGGUGCCAAAAGGAAUUGGGAAUAGUUGUGCCAUAGUAAAUGUUCUUUUACAGAAGCAGACAGUGGGGUGUGGUUUGUAGCCCAGUGUAGAGAAGAGGCCAACAUUAAGUCCUAGGAUUCUGGAAAACUCCCCCAGUACCUAUGGCUAAAUCCCCCUCCAUCCUCAGCUCUGAAGGAUUUCAUUAAGCACCAACAAAGCAUUUGACAGGCAAUAUUAAGCUCUCAGAAUCAAACUUCCUCUCAGGAAGGUAUUCGCAAUGAUGUCUACUCCGUCAUUCUCACAGGUACAUUCAAAGCAUGCACAGGUACAUUCAAAGCAUGGCAGGUCACUUCUCAUGCAGCAGUGGAGUUCCAAAGUCAGCCUGGCAGACAGAAGCCUCACACCACCACAAUGACCUUUGAAAAUUCCUGCAGUCACCCAAAAAUUAAAACGUACAUGGAUUAAAUGUCAUGAAGUAGACUCGGGGAAGGCAUAAAAGGGAAGUCCACAUGCAAAUGUUUGGGCAUAUGAACAUUCCUUCUUUAAAAGAACACUCCUAUUCCUUCAAGUAUGGACUGUAACAUGCUCCUGCUUGCCUGAGGGUUCCUUCUGUUCUAGUUCAACCUACCUUUGGUUUACAUGAGCAUCUUUGUUGCUUUUUUGAGAGAGUUCAUAUAGUUGAAAACAAGAGCAUAAGUACCUAUCCUAAGCCAUCAACAGUUACAUGUUAAACUUGAUCCUAAACCUGUUUGCAUAAUCAUCAGCACAUGUACACCAUUCAUUGAAAUGUUAUAAAGAAUCUAGCCAUCAGCUUCUUGCCACUGCCGGCUGGCAUCGUAGGAAUGGCUGUCAUGCUCACAACCCUCAGCAUUCAGUGUUUUCUUACCCUGGAAGAUGAAAUCAUUGAAGCAAGUGGGUGCGCAUGAUAGAGCCCCAUGGGCUGGGAUACAAGGUAUUUCAGUAAGAUACUCAAUCCAGCUGCAGUAAUUUUCCUAGGUUGCUCAGCUAGUUGGUAAGGGAGCCAUGUUUAAAUCUCAGCUUCCUCAUCUGUGAAAGGGGGAGUAAAAAGGUGGCAACCUCACAGGGUUAUGGUAAGGAGCAGAUGAGUUUUAAAAUAACCUAGAAUGAUCACUGGCUCAAUAAAUGUUAGCUAUCAUUUUUAUCUGAGCUCCUGUCCACAACUUGGCUGUCUGCAAGGUGUGGGAUGUAAGAUGCCCAUCAUCUCGAAGGAAUGAGGGGCGCGGCUGCACAUGAGCUUUACCUCCGAUGUCCAAUGAAGUAUUCCUUUUCUCACCUUACCGUAACAAGGCACAAGAGAUGUGAUAAGCUUUCUAAAUUUACAUGUCACCAAGAAAAUGGACUUUCUAUAUCUGAUUGUCACUUGAAAGAAUAAUGAAGGAGGAGCAGGGGCCCAGGGAUAGUGGACGUUUGAGAAGAAAUCUUCUGCUUUAUUGAAUUUGGUUUGUUUCCACUGACCUCUCCUGUCCCUGGGGAGGAAAAGAAAAACCCAGUCACUCAAAUCAGGGGUCGAAAUAUUUUUAGGAUUUAUGAGCCAUGCUGUCUGUGUCACAGCUCCUCAGCUCUGCCACUAUAGCACAAAAGCAGCCAUCGACAAUCUGUAAAUGAAUCACUUUGGCUGUGUUCCACUGAAACUUUAUUUAUGGACACUGAAAUUUGAAUUGCAUAUAAUUUUCAUGUAUCACAAAAUAUUAUUCUGAUUUUUCCCCAACUGUUUAAAAAUGUAAAAACUAUUCUUAGCUCACAGGUUGUACAAAGGAGGCAGUAGGCUGGAUUUGUCCCACGGGCUGUGGUUUGCCUGUCCUGACUUAGAGCACCAGACUGAGAGUCAGACCUGUCACUGUUCACUGGUUAUUUGACCAAGUUAUCUCCCAUCCCUGGACUUCAACUUUUUCUAGGGAAAACAAGUGACUUAUCCUAAAGGAUCCCUGAUUCCUUCUAGCACUAAAAGGCCAAGGCUGCAUGGUUUUUAUGUAGCUAUGCACUCAGACAAACCAGGUUCUAGUCCUGGCUCAGCCUCUGAUUUGCUGGGGAAUGUUGGACAAAUUUUCUAUGCAUCCCAAUGCCUCAGUGGUCUCAUCUGUACUGUGGGAAUUAAAAAGCAAUGUUGCUAUGAAGAUUAAAGGGUUGCUAUGAAGAUUAAAGUCAUAGGAUAUUUGUGGACACCUUAACUCAUGUAUCCAACAAAUACUUAUUGUACCUAGUAUAUACUGAAUAGAAUAAGUGCUAACUAUUGUAU
rnacentral:lncRNA from 1 species